UUAAAAAAAAGAAUAAUAAUGAAAGAUAAUGAGAAUGUCCCUUGUCUGUACAACACUUCAUUAAUUUAAUGCUAUCUUUAGAUUCCCAGCUUCUUGCUAUACAUUACAUGAUAUACUGUGCUAUUUACCGUAGUCCAGAAAUUGCAGAAACGCUAACACAUGUACUCAGGAACUUCUGUUACAUUCUCUGAAGGCUCUGUCUAUAUAUGAGAAUUAUUUAACAAAACAUGGUUUAGAAGGUCCAAGUUACUAGAAUGAAGGUUUUGCACAGGCAGCUCUUAACAUGAAAAUGAGUUUCAUUCCCAAAAAACCAUUCCACACCAUUUUGGAUACUGUCUCCACUUUCAUGUCUUCUAGCCAUCACCUCUGCCCUGUGCAAUUAUCCUUUCCCCUAGACUGCUUCUACAGAGAUAUUUCCUCUAUGUGUUCAAGUGCUUUUUAAAAAUUCAAAUUCAAUAAAAUAGAAGAAAUAUACCAAAAAUAUCAAUGACAAUAAUACACUGGCACUCUACAAUUUAAUCUACAUUUACCCUCUUGUUUUAAUACUUGUAAUAGGUUAAAUUGUGUCCCCCACCAAUUCAUAUGUUGAAGUCCUAACCUUGAAUACCUCAGAAUGUGACCUAUUUGGAGAUAGGGUCUUAACAGAGAUAAUCAAAUUAAAAUGAGCUUAUUAGGGUGGGCCCUAAUCCAGUAUGACUGUUAUAAGGAGAGGAAAUUUGGACACAGACACACACUGAGGGAAGACAAUAUGAAGAGAUGCAGAGAGAAGAUAGACAUUUCCAAGCCAAAGAGAGAUUGUGGAACAUAGCUUUCCCUCAAAGCCCUCAGAAGAAACCAAUCUUGCUGAUAAUAUUAUCUCAGACUUGUAGUCCCCAGAAGUGUGAGAUAAUAAAUUUCUGUUAUUUAAGCCACCCAGUUUGUGGUACUUUGUUAUAGCAGCCCUAGCAAACUAAUGCAGUACUCUUAGAUUAAAAUUAGCAAAAAAAAAUUUCAAACAGCUUAGCCAAAAAAUAGAAUUUAAGAAAGGAGACUGGGACAUCUCAUAGAUUCCAAGAAAGUCUGGACAACCAGCCCCAGCCUACAGAGACUAGGGAACACCAGGAGCUCAGGCAGCAUCUCCCCAUCUCAUUCUCUCUGUCCCACAGGCCACAUCAUCUCUCAUUCCUUUCUCUUUCUUGCGGACAGAUCACUGUAUCACACACAUGACUGUACCAAAGGCUACAAAAGGUGCAGGUCCCAUAAACUAACAAAUACUUAUUAAUAUUAAGUUUAAAUCUCAAUUCCAAACCCAUAGGAGACAGAAUCUGAUAGACCUGAUGCAGGUCAGGCAUCUAUCCCUGUUUCAAUCAGCUACGGCCAGGAAGGCAGGGCUACGUAGGAUAAACAUAGCUUUGGGGAGUAGGACCACAUUGCAACUGUUAUGGACUUUAAGCACUUUUGUCUUCAUAGACCCCAUCAUCCCUAAACAAAAUUAGCAAAAAUUAUGUUCUAUGAUUACAUUGAUUUAAAGAUAUAAUUAUACAUUAAAACAUUUUCUUUGACAUGAAAUUAAUCUUUCUCCUGAUUUUAAAGAAUUAAGACAUUUUCAUGGGCCUCAAAAAGUAUUCUGGUCCUAGGUACUGGGCCUGCUGUGCCUCAUAUAGCUUUUUUUUAGUGAAGUGGACUUUUUAGACAAAGAGGGAGUAUGUAUGUAUAGCUACACAUUCCUAUUUAGCUAGGCUUUUCAAUGUCUGUUCUCAUCAUUUUUCCAGUAAGACACUUGUAACUUGUGUUGUUGUUAAUGACGAUACAAGUAAUAACAACACUGGAGAGGAUAUUUUUCCUCGUGUGUUCCUCCAUCUAAUGCCUUUCAGAUUUAUAACUGACAGUGGUUGACUUCCACCUCCUGAUUCCCAUAUGGUCUCAAGGGUGUAGAAUAACCUGGAGGCUUGUGAUAGAAAAGACUUGGGGUAAAUUAUUUAAGCUCCUGGAAAGAGCUGAGUAAGUAUUUUCAAAUCCCUUCUCUAACACACAGGGUUAUAUUUUAUCAGCUAUAUCCAUGAUAACAUCUCACUGAAGCAUAUGUCAUUAGUCCAUCUUUCAUAAGUAAAAUAAAUCAAGAAGUCCACUUAUUCACUAGAAAUACAUAUAUCUUGCCUCUUACAUGACAUUUAAUUAUGGGUCAAGUUGUACAACUGUAGAGGUGUGUUUUCUGUGCUAGAGGUAUAAAGGGGUUUCUAAUACUUAUACAGCUUCUCUAUUAUAUGCCAAUUUUGAGUGCAUUUAUCUGUGCUAGCAAUAAUGAUAGAAAUGAAGUAACAAAAGCAGGGUGACAAGUGUGCGAUUAUCUUCUGGGUUUCAAAUUUAACAGGUUGGACAUAUGACGAGAUUGAAUAUGAGCAUUGCACCUAAGUGACUAUUUCACGAAGCUUUCAAGUGGGACUACUAGCAAAUGACUGACAUACCCAGUGAGGCACAACUUUGGGAGAAAAAAAGGUCAGUUCUUAUAGACUUGUGGGUUACAGAAGUAGCAGUAGUUUCACAGAAAUUUGGGUGGCUGAUUUUGAGAAAUCAAAUCAAACUAAGACUCUGCAAAAUGCUACGAGUCACUCAGUGGAGUCAUUGCUUAUGUUAGUAGGUAUUGGUUAUUCAUUGCCAUUUUAGGCUGUACACACAAAUGUGUGUUGCAUUCACCCUGGGAACUCCCGUCUUUGAGAGCAAAGGAUCACUCUCUACAUCAAUAAAAUAAGUAUGAAAAAGUGAAGCAGAAAUAGAGUGGCUUUGGGACUUAAUCUGGAAAUCUGAUGGGUAUGAUCAUUAAUUUCAUGUGUCAACUUGACUAGACUACGUGGUGCCCAGAUAUUUGGUCAAAUGUUAUUUUGGAUGUGUCUGUGAGGGUGUUUCUGGAUGAGGAUAAGAUUUGAAUUGGUAGAAUGAGUAAAGCAGAUUGCCCACCCUAAUGUGGGUGGCCUUCAUCCAGCCAGUUGAAGACCUGAAUAGAAUAAAAAAGCUAACCCUCCCUUAGUAGGAGGGAGUUCCUUCUGCCUGACUGCUUUGAGCUGGGACAUCAGUCUUUUCUGGCCUUCCACCUGAACUAAAAUAUCAUCUUUUCUUGGGUCUUGAGCCUUUCAGCUUUCAGACUGGAACUACACGAACUACACCGUCAGUUCUUCUGGGUCUCCAGCUUGCCAGCUGCAGAUCUUGGGACUUCUCGGCUUCUGUAACAAUGACAAAUUUUCAGGAAUUGGAUCACUGGGUUGAAGAAUAUGAGUGGUUUUGGCUUUUUGGUUUUUCCAAACCAUUGAUCAUCAUUUAUACAUAUGAUGUAAGUGAAUUGAUUCAGUCAUAAAGAAUUUUGUGAGUGAAAUAAAAUGACAAAAUUCUGAACUGAAAUGCAUAGCUCUGGUGAAUAUGGCUGGAUAUAUUAGGCAUUUGGAUUGAGGCUAAUCAUUUUUCUCAAAUAUUAUCCAUUUGAAAUAAAGGUGGGCCUAGAAUUAGUGAGAUACCCAACCAAAGCUGUAUUGUGACUUCAUAAUACUCUUGCCUGUGUGUGUGAUACACUUGUUUAUCUUGUUAUUUAAAAUUGUAAUAGAAGAAACAAAACACAUGUUUUAUCAAAUGUUGGGAAAACUGAAUUUUAUUCUUAAUUCUGUAAGGUGAGAGUAAAAUUGACUGUAUUACUUGAAACUUCCUCUAUGAAGUCCUUGGUGGCUACCUCGAUCACUUCACAGUAGAGCUGCCUCUGAUUAGAAGAGCAAGCAGGUUAAAUUUUUUUUUUUUUUUUUUUUUGCUGUACGCGGGCCUCUCACUGUUGUGGCCUCUCCCUUUGCGGAGCACAGGCUCUGGACGUGCAGGCUCAGCGGCCAUGGCUCACGGGCCCAGCCCCUCCGCGGCAUGUGGGAUCUUCCCAGACCGGGGCACGAACCCGUGUCCCCUGCAUCGGCAGGAGGACUCUCAACCACUGCGCCACCAGGGAAGCCCCCAGGUUAAAUUUUUGAUGCAUUGUAUUUAUAUAGAGGAGUCCUAUUGCCUAAAACAUGUGACAUUAAAUACCUGGAGAUUCUAAAUGGAAAAUAAGCCAUAAGUUAAAUAACAAUAUCUGUUAUCAAAGAUGAUUUUUUUAUAGGAGCACAUAAUUUGGGGUGAAUCCAUUACAUAAAACUCAAUAACUUGUGCUGAAAUAAUUAAGUUGACAGGCCUAAUGUUGAUUUUACUGUCUUUUCCCCCCAGUGUUUUGCUUUUCAUUUGUAUGAGAGGAAGAAGGCACAUGGUAUGAGUUUGGCUCAUGUGUCUGAAUAUGGCUCCACAGGGAAGAUUUGAUACAGCUGAAGCUAUUGCUUUUUAGAGACCUUUUAUGAUGAGCAGCUGCCUUAACAGCCUUCAUCUUGUGACAUCACAUGAGCUAUAUCUCCGCAAUAGGAAGAGAGAAAGAUAUGGCUGAGAGUUUUUGACUAAAACUUAAAAUUGCAAAAGCAGAAACAGAGGUGGAUGUUCCUGAAGUUAUAUUUUUGUAAUAUGUGACAGAUACACAAUUGUCUUAUCCUAGUUUUCUUUUUUUUUUUUUUUUUUGCGGUACGCUGGCCUCUCACUGCUGCGGCCCCUCCCGCUGCAGAGCACAGGCUCCGGACGCGCAGGCCCAGCGGCCACAGCCCAUGGGCCCAGCCGCUCCGCGGCACGCGGGAUCCUCCCGGACCGGGGCACAAACCUGCGUGCCCUGCAUCGGCAGGCGGACUCUCAACCACUGCGCCACCAGGCCUCCCUAUUCCCUGAGACACAACAAUAUUGAAAUUAGGCCAAUGAACAACCCUACAAUGGCUUCUAAGUGUUCAAGUGCAAGGAAGUGCUGCUGUCUCUCACUUUUAAAUCCAAAGCUAGAGAUGAUUAAGCUUAGUGAGGAGGGCAUGUUGAAAGCUGAGUUAUGCUGAAAGCUUGGCCUCUUGUGCCAAACAGUUAGCCAAGUUGUGAAUGCAAAGGAAAAGUCCUUGAAGGAAACUAAAAGUGCUACUCCAGUGAAUACACAAAUGGUAAGAAAGCGAAGAAGCCUUAUUGCUGAUAAAGUUUUAGUGGUCUGGAUAGAAGACCAAACCAGCCAUAACAUUCCCUUAAGUCAAAGCUUAAUCAAGGGCAAGGCCCUAACUCUUUUCAACUUUGUGAAGGCUGAGAGAGGUGAGGAAGCCGCAGAAGAAACAUUUGAAGCUAGCAGAGGUUGGUUCAUGAGGUUUAAGGAAAGAAGUUGCCUCUAUAACAUAAAAGUGCAAGGUGAAGCAGCAAGUGCUGAUGUAGAAGCUGCAGCAGGUGUUCCAGAAUAUCUAGCUACACUAAACAACAGAUUUUCAAUGUAGAUGAAACAGGCUUCUAUUGGAAGAAGAUGCCACAUCUAGGACUUUCUUAGCUAGAGAGAAGUCAAUGCCUGACUUCAAUGCUUCAAAGGACAGGCUGACUCUCUUGUUAGGGGCUAAUGGAGCUUGAGACUUUGAGUGGAAGCUGAGGCUCAUUUACCAUUCUGAAACUCUUAAAGCCUUUAAGAAUUAUGCUAAAUCUACUCUGCUUGUCCUCUAUUAAUGAGAUAACAAGGUAUGGAUGGCAGCACACCUGUUUACAACAUGGUUUGCUAAGUAUUUUAAGCCCACUGUUAAAACCUACUGCUCAUAAUAAAGAUUCCUCUCAAAACAUAACUGCUCAUUGACAAUGCACUUGAUCAUCAAGAGUUCUCAUGGACAUGUACAAUGAGAUUAAUGUUUUCAUGCCUGUUAAAACAACAUCCAUUCUGCAGCCAUGCACCAAGAAGUGAUUUUGACUUUCAAGUCUUAUUAUUUAAGAAAUAUACUUUGUAAAGCUAUAGCUGCCAUAGGUAGUGAUUCUUCUGAUGAAUCUGAGUGAAGUAAAUUGAAAAACCUUUUGGAAAGAAUUCACCAUUCUACAUGCCAUUAAGUACAUUUGCGAUUCAUUGGAAGAGGUCAAAUAUCAACAUAAACAGGAGUUUGGAAGAAGUUAAUUCCAACUCUCAUAGAUGACUUUGAGGGGUUAAAGACUUCAGUGGAGAAAGUAACUGCAGAUGUGGUAGGAAUAGCAAGAGAACUAGAAUGAGAAGUGGAGUCUGAAGAUGUGACUGAGUAGCUGCAAUCUCAUGAUUAAACUUUAGUGGAUGAGGAGUUGCUUCUUAUGCAUGAGCAAAAAAAAAAAAAGUGGUUUCUUGAGAUGGAAUCUACUGCUGGUGAAGAUGCUGUGAAGAUAGUUGAAAUGACAACAAAUGUUUUAGAAUAUUACAUAAACUUAGUUGAUAAAGCUGCAGGGCAUAAGAGGGUUGACUCCAAUUUUGAAAGAAGUUCUACUGUGGGCAAAAUGCUAUCAAACAGCAGUGCAUGCUACAGAGAAAUCAUUUGUGAAAGGAAGAGUCAAUCGAUGCAGCAAACUUCACUGUUGUGUUAUUUUAAGAAAUUGUCACAGCCAUCCCAGCCUUCAACAACCAUCACCCUGAUCAGUCAGCAGCAUCAGCAUCAAGCCAAGACCCUCCACUAGCAAAAAGAUUAAGACUCUAUGAAGGCUCAGAUGAUGGUUAGCAUUUUUUAUUAAUAAAGUAUUUUUAAUUAAGGUAUGCGCAUUGUUAUACAUAAUGCUAUUGCACACUUAAUAGACUUUAGUAUAGUGUAAACAUGACUUUUAUAUGCACCAGGAAACCACAAAAUUUGUGUGACUCACAUUAUUGUAAUAUUCACUUUAUUGCAGUGGUCUGGAUCCAAACCCACAAUAUCUCUGAAAUAUGCCUGUAUUUGUGUUACCACUGAUAUAGGAAAAAGCAGAUCAUUUUUAACAUUAAAAUGUUAUUGAGAUUUCAAAGGUGGAGGACAUUAUCUUUUCCUAUUUUUCUUUAUGAUAGAGUGUUUGUAAAGUAGUGUUCCCAGAAUAAUAAGCACUCUUUUGGGAAAUAAGUGUAGUAAAUAGCCAAGUAAUUUCUCACAAAGAACAGACGAAGAAAGGUAGUGCCAUCUGGGUUAAGCUAUUAAAUAUAUCGGUACAAUAAUAACUACCCAUUAUCUUGACCAACCAGAAAUUACUCAUUUUUAUUCUCUAGCUAUACACUUUCAGUAUAAAGAAGGAUUUUUUUCAUUUUUCUAUUGGUUAUGAAUUAAGUCAUCAAUUUUUUUCUGAGUUUUAAUGGUUUGAAACAAAGAGUCAGAUGCAUGGCUUUUCAGUUUCUUUUGCUACUUUAUUUUAUUACUUGGUUAUUUAAGGUCAAAAGACUUCCAUUUUCAAAAUACAUAAUAGAAAUAAUAAAGCGGUAAAAUUUGGACUUAGAUAAUAUGGACAUUUUUCUUAAAAGUGUCAACAUAAUUUACAAAUUAUU